CUUAAAGGUGAACGUUUGCAUUGAUGCCGAUCGCCAGGCAUCAGCAUAUUCCCUUCAUCUUUUCAGCUUGGACUCCCCCUAUCUGGAUUUCCUCUUCCAUAUCAACUCGCCGCUGCUGCCCUUUUUGCUUCUCUAAGACAUCAGGUCGAACCGCCAUGAGCCAAGGUGUACCGAGGAACCAACCGCACGGCGGCUGUCGGAUUCACGCUGCGGCGUUGAGAGGAAGAAUCGCAGCACGGUCGAUGUUUAGAGGCCUCGGCGUGGGCCAAUUAUCAUGGCAAAGGCGUUGUUUCCAAAAAUAUCCUCCGGUUUUUGGAUGCCGUCUUUGAGGGGGCGGCGUACAGCCGAGUGUGGCACAGCAGCAGCUGUGCAGUGUGUUGGUCAAACGUUAUUGGGAUGUGAACAACAAUGAGCACGCUGUCGCGAAGGCGGAUGUUUUUUUUACGUGAAAACGCACAAACGCGCCCGGUUGCUGAGGCGCGCCUGUCCGAGAAUACGGGAGAGAGGUUAUCCAGUGCGUGCGAAAGAGAGGCUUCAUACCAUAAGAAAAGAGAGAGAGAGAGACGCUGGAAAUUGCACUUCCAUGUCAUCCAUUUCCUGGAGAUGGCUGCAAACCCCUGGACACACUUAAUCAGGAAAAGGGCACACCUCCGAGUAUCCAUUCUUUUGUAAUGGCAUUACACCGCACAAGUAAGAUUUAGAGAUCCCUUAAUGUGCCAGAGUCUUCUGCAUAAAAGUAUAUACAAAGGUUAAUAUUGCAAUAAUAUGUUCCUGGAGGGCAUUGUAAUCAUUAUCUCUCUGGUGGUAUCAAUUAGAAGCACUUUACUGCAGGUAAUGACUAAGAUUCCGGUACAAAAUGACAUUAUUAUUAUUAUCCCCAUCUAUAAUUUCAGAGUGGAUACACAAGACAUGGGGGAAAAAAAGAAAAAGCAUAAGUUCAACCAAAGGUAGGCUUUAAAAGUGAGAGGACUUUUACUGUUGGACUCGAGGAAGGAAACUGCGGCUGGGCGGCCCGAGUCCGAGCGAGCGGCCGGGUGUGUCUACGUGCACAUGCACUUGUGGAAGUACUUGGAAGUUUUUAAAGGGCCAAAUCAUACAGAAAUAUAAGAGAAAAUAAAAAAGUGCAUCCUCA